UGUCACUUUAUGUUUUCCUGCAUGUUCCUGUGUUCGCAGUGCUCUCAGUGUUCUUGUUUUUACACAGGUUUGUUUGAUGCUAACUCCAUCAACGAGGGCGCUAACAUUGCUCUGCUGCCAAAGGGAGGAGGAGGAGAGUGAUUAAGAGGACUGAACAAGGAGCAGCAAUACUACUGACCAUGACAAUCAUCAUAUGCAAACAUUGGCGACUUAGAGGACAAAAUAAACAGACAUUAACUGCAAGCGUGUCCUGGUGGUUUGCAGCUCCAGUUUGAAUCUGUAUCACUAUCCAACAGUUAUCAUCUUCACUUGUAUUAAAUAUCCUCUGAGCCUUGAA